rnacentral:misc_RNA from 1 species
CGUGAUUGCUUCUUACGCUUGGUUUGUGUGGUGAACUUCUCACUUGCGUUGUAUACAGAUUAGGUUUGCGUGGUACGGUUCUGCUGUUGCGGACUCUGAAGGUGUUGGGUGCUUCGGAGGUGCAUUUUUUUUUUCGGCGCAUUCUAUUUGUGCCAUCAUACCGGUGAAAAGAGUGAGGUUCUCUCCGUCAGCUAAUGCAAGGCCGCUGACUGUGUAUGGAUUGGUGUAGAGUGCCGUGAACCAUGCCUCCUAAGGCGAAGAAGGCUGCAACAGCCGCUUCUAAAGAGCUCUACUACGAAGACCAGCAGCUUGCAGAUGAUGUAGUCAUUUUGGAAGAAAAGCUCAAGGGUCUCAAGCGAGUGUACUUGGAUAGAAUGAUGGCGCUAGCUGAGCGAAAAAAGCAGCAGCUUAUUUUAAGUGCCAAGCUGGAUGCACUGAAGGCGGGCUUGGAAGCCAAAAAGAGUGAAAAAAUCGAUGUCUUAACUGACGGCACCCGAGUCUACAAGGUGAGAGAGCGCAUGGCUCUGCAAGAGAUUGCGACGCAGGACGCUGCCUUGCACGAGCUUCAAGAGACCAAAAAGAAACUGCAGGACCAGCUAGAGACCUGCACUGCCGAUUUUGAUAGCCGAAUCAAGAGCAAGAAGAGAGAGUUGGAAUCUCUCCGCGAGCGAACGGCGGACAUGGAAAAGGAGUUUGCAGUGCUGCUGUCUGAUGUGGAGCAAUGUUCUCCGUAGCUUGUGAGCCUUUGCGUCUCGCGCGUGUGAUGUAGAUUAGGCAACCAAUCCACAAAAGAAGAAGGCGAGGUUCAU